ACGUACACUCCUACGGGAGGCAGCAGUAGGGAAUCUUCCACAAUGGGUGCAAACCUGAUGGAGCAAUGCCGCGUGAGUGAAGAAGGUCUUCGGAUCGUAAAGCUCUGUUGUUAGAGAAGAACACGUGCUAGGUAACUACUAGCGCCUUGACGGUAUCUAACCAGAAAGUCACGGCUAACUACGUGCCAGCAGCCGCGGUAAUACGUAGGUGACAAGCGUUGUCCGGAUUUAUUGGGCGUAAAGGGAGCGCAGGCGGUCUGUUUAGUCUAAUGUGAAAGCCCACGGCUUAACCGUGGAACGGCAUUGGAAACUGACAGACUUGAAUGUAGAAGAGGAAAAUGGAAUUCCAAGUGUAGCGGUGGAAUGCGUAGAUAUUUGGAGGAACACCAGUGGCGAAGGCGAUUUUCUGGUCUAACAUUGACGCUGAGGCUCGAAAGCGUGGGGAGCGAACAGGAUUAGAAACCCCAGUAGUCCC
rnacentral:rRNA from 1 species